UACGGAGGGUGCAAACGUUGCUCGGAAUCAUUGGGCGUAAAGCGCACGUAGGCGGCCUGUUAAGUCGGGUGUGAAAGCCCUGGGCUCAACCAGGAAGUGCACUCGAAACUGGCGGGCUUGAAUAUGGAAGAGGGUCGCGGAAUUCCCGGUGUAGAGGUGAAAGUUCGUAGAUAUUGGGAAGAACACCGGUGGCGAAGGCGGCGACCUAGGUCCUUUUACUGGACCGUCUGGAGGCGGAGCGAAAGACUAGGGGGAGCAAACGGG
rnacentral:rRNA from 1 species